AGCACGCCCCCUAGCGGCUUCUGUGAGAUUCCAUCUCCUCCAGCCACGGCAGCCUGGUUAAUAAAUAGGGAAGGUGUUUUGCCCGCCAUCCACAUUGAUCUCUACCACUUCCUGACAGGCUGCUCAUUUCAGGCCAACACUCGCUAGGCACUCGCUGUGCUGACUACUCUCCUAGGAAUUGGGAUAGCCUUUGAGUCGUCAAUCAUCCUAACCCUGUCGGUGCUUUAUAAAGAAUCAAGGGGAGAAUGUCUAUUUUGAGUCUCGAAGAGUAGGUAAAUAGGUUGGCAGAAUAGGGGGUGAGGUGAGAAAAUCCUGUGCCUGUGAAAUGAAACAAAAGGGAUGAACCCCACCCCGCCGUGUACUCAACCUCCGCUGAGUAACUACCAUUAACUGAGGUCACAGAAGGAACACGACAUGCUGGAGACGGAGCUGACUCAGACGCCGCCACCUGUGACUCCAGGAGCUCACAGCCUAGCAAGGAGACAGCACAAACUACAAAGCGACAUCCUCCAGUGGUGGACUGUGGAGAGUGGAAGGACAGCUGUGGAAGGCAGAGUUGCAGCCUCUAGCUUCUGACGCCACUCCAGGUCCUAGCAUCAUCGGAUGGGGACGGGCAGCUUUGAAUAGGACACAAAACACCAACUUCCUCCGGCUCCUGGGCAAGCAGGUCCUUCUAUGUACAGUACUCCUGGCUCAAGGCUGCUCUGCUCCUCCCAGACUCUUGGGCCUUCUCCAGAACUGGCCUGAGUGCAGCUGAGACUCUUCCAAGAGGCUCAGAGAUCUGGCUUCUGAGACAGAAAAUAGCCCAGGAUGGCUAUGACCACUAUGAUGCAGAUGACCAGGAGUACAGCAAUGGCCACCUCCACAGAGCCUGGGAGAAAACGGGCAGAAUGAGGUGCUCCCAAGGCCUGUCUGGUUCUGACACCCACCACCCUCUUUAUGGAACAGAAAAAGACCAUGGAUGUCACGUGUAGAAGCAGAUGGACACCCAAAGCAGACCUCCAGAAUAGCUGUUUCCAGAAGCCCAGAGGGGCUCUAAUGGCAGACAACUGGCAGGCAAUUCACUGUACCGCCCUCCGUUACCUAUGUCAGAGCUCACUACUCAAUGGUGCACUCGGGGUAACCUCAGGAUCCUUCUCAACAUGACUGAGGCAUUCACAAGCAGUCACACGCUGUCAGUUCCUGAGCUGACACCUGUGUACCCAUGCUGGUGACAAGACACACCAGGGCUUACCUCCACUGGGAAUGGAGCUUUCCCUCCGCAGACCAAACACAUCCUUCUCUGCAAAGUGACAUGGAGAACCGGUCAGCACUAAGUCCUUAGACUCAGCUGUGUGAGUGCCACAGCCCCUCUGUCCCAACUCCCACUGCCAUCGAAGUCACUUAGUAGAGAAGUGACUGACCCAGACCUAACUAAGCCUUCCCCUUCACCCUGCCGCUGCCACUCUGCUCACUGGAGAUGCCACGACAUGACUCGAGACACUGUUGUUCCUCCUCGAAGUUGUUCUUGUUGCCAUAGCAACCGCCAUAGGUGAAGCGGGCACAGUGUUCACUGAAUGGGUUGUAAUACCAGCGUGGGAUGUUUUCUUUGCAGUGCCCAGUGUCUGGCAGUUCUGCACAGUACCCUGCAGUAAGGGGGCAUGCAAAGUGACAAGUGAGGCCACGGAGCCACCCAUGCUGCCGCCACCCUUCAGGGCCCUAUGUGACGCUAACUCACCACCCCCUCCCCAGGCUGAGGGCAGUGUGGCUUCACCAAAGGCCCAUCUGUAGUACUGUCAAAGGGAAGACAGACAACUCUGGACCGCAAUCCCGGGCACCAAGGGAACUAGUUAGACUCACAAUUGUAAAGACAUACUCCAUCACAUUAUUUAUUUCUUUACUUUUGUGCAUACGCCAUGGC